UACGUAGGUGACCAGCGUUGUCCGGAUUUACUGGGCGUAAAGAGCGCGCAGGCGGUCGUUCAAGUCGAGUGUGAAAGCCCCCGGCUCAACUGGGGAGGGUCACUCGAUACUGAUCGACUUGAAGGCAGGAGAGGGAAGCGGAAUUCCCGGUGUAGUGGUGAAAUGCGCAGAUAUCAGGAGGAACACCGAUGGCGAAGGCAGGUCUCUGGGCCACUACUGACGCUGAGAAGCGAAAGCAUGGGGAGCGAACAGG
rnacentral:rRNA from 1 species